rnacentral:rRNA from 2 species
UAACAAGGAUUCCCCUAGUAACUGCGAGUGAAGCGGGAAGAGCUCAAAUUUAAAAUCUGGCAGUUUCACUGUCCGAGUUGUAGUCUAGAGAAGCGUUAUCCGCGCCGGCCCGUGUACAAGUCUCUUUGAACAGAGCAUCAUAGAGGGUGAUAAUCCCGUCUCUGACACGGACUCCCGGUGCUUUUGUGAUGCGCUCUCGAUGAGUCGAGUUGUUUGGGAAUGCAGCUCUAAAUGGGUGGUAAAUUCCAUCUAAAGCUAAAUAUAGGCGAGAGACCGAUAGCGAACAAGUACCGUGAGGGAAAGAUGAAAAGAACUUUGGAAAGAGAGUUAAACAGUACGUGAAAUUGCUAAAAGGGAAACGCUUGAAGUCAGUCACGUUGGCCGAGGAUCAGCCUUGCUUUCGCUGGGUGCAUUUCUUGGUUUACGGGUCAGCAUCAGUUUUGACCGCCGUACAAAGACCCAAUGAAUGUGGCAUCUCAGGAUGUGUUAUAGCUUUGGGAUCACAUGCGGCGGCUGGGACUGAGGAACUCAGCACACCUUUAUGGUCGGGGUUCGCCCACGCUUGUGCUUAGGAUGCUGACAAAAUGGCUUUAAUCGACCCGUCUUGAAACA